CGUAGGGUCCGAGCGUUGUCCGGAAUUACUGGGGCGUAAAGAGCUCGUAGGUGGUUUGUCGCGUUGUUCGUGAAAACUCACAACUCAAUUGUGGGCGUGCGGGCGAUACGGGCAGACUGGAGUACUGCAGGGGAGACUGGAAUUCCUGGUGUAGCGGUGGAAUGCGCAGAUAUCAGGAGGAACACCGGUGGCGAAGGCGGGUCUCUGGGCAGUAACUGACGCUGAGGAGCGAAAGCGUGGGGAGCGAACAGGAUU
rnacentral:rRNA from 1 species